rnacentral:rRNA from 1 species
GAUGAACGCUGGCGGCGUGCCUAAUACAUGCAAGUCGAGCGAACAGACGAGGAGCUUGCUCCUUUGACGUUAGCGGCGGACGGGUGAGUAACACGUGGAUAACCUACCUAUAAGACUGGGAUAACUUCGGGAAACCGGAGCUAAUACCGGAUAACCUGUUGAACCGCAUGGUUCAACAGUGAAAGACGGUCUUGCUGUCACUUAUAGAUGGAUCCGCGCCGCAUUAGCUAGUUGGUAAGGUAACGGCUUACCAAGGCAACGAUGCGUAGCCGACCUGAGAGGGUGAUCGGCCACACUGGAACUGAGACACGGUCCAGACUCCUACGGGAGGCAGCAGUAGGGAAUCUUCCGCAAUGGGCGAAAGCCUGACGGAGCAACGCCGCGUGAGUGAAGAAGGUCUUCGGAUCGUAAAACUCUGUUAUUAGGGAAGAACAAAUGUGUAAGUAACUAUGCACGUCUUGACGGUACCUAAUCAGAAAGCCACGGCUAACUACGUG